GAACGCUGGCGGCGUGCUUAACACAUGCAAGUCGAGCGGUAAGGCCCUUCGGGGUACACGAGCGGCGAACGGGUGAGUAACACGUGGGUGAUCUGCCUCGCACUUCGGGAUAAGCCUGGGAAACUGGGUCUAAUACCGGAUAUGACCUCUGGUCGCAUGGCUGGAGGUGGAAAGAUUUAUCGGUGCGAGAUGGGCCCGCGGCCUAUCAGCUUGUUGGUGGGGUAAUGGCCUACCAAGGCGACGACGGGUAGCCGGCCUGAGAGGGCGACCGGCCACACUGGGACUGAGACACGGCCCAGACUCCUACGGGAGGCAGCAGUGGGGAAUAUUGCACAAUGGGCGAAAGCCUGAUGCAGCGACGCCGCGUGAGGGAUGACGGCCUUCGGGUUGUAAACCUCUUUCGACAGGGACGAAGCGUGAGUGACGGUACCUGUAGAAGAAGCACCGGCCAACUACGUGCCAGCAGCCGCGGUAAUACGUAGGGUGCGAGCGUUGUCCGGAAUUACUGGGCGUAAAGAGCUUGUAGGCGG
rnacentral:rRNA from 1 species